AGACAUGGGGAUGACCUGAUUGUAACACCCUUUGCUCAGGUGCUUGCGAGCCUUCGUAGCGUGAGGAACAACUUCACCGUGCUGACCAAUGUGCAGUGUGGCUCCAGCAAGAGGUCCCCUGCAGCCCCCCAGCCCCCUGUCACCACC